rnacentral:misc_RNA from 1 species
GACAAAAUUUACCAUACACCAACUUAAAAGGUGUGGUGCCUAUAGGUGUCUUGUAAGCAGUUUUGUACGCCUAUAAAGCAUCAUCCAAUUUAAUGAAUCAAUCCUUCCUAGAAUUAUUGACUGUUUUCUCCAAAAUAUGUUUAAGCUUUCUGUCGGAAAUCUCAACUUGACCAGAUAUUUGGGAAAUGAUAUGGUGUGGCUACCUUGUGUAUCACAUCAUAUUUUCUCAAUAAGGUUUUGAAUUGUCUAUUACAAAAAUGAGUACUUCCAUCACUAAUAAUUGGUCUAAGAGCUCCAAUUCUGCUCAAAACAAACUUCUUUAAGAACUUGACUACAACUUCUGCAUCAUUAGUUGGAGUUACAAUGGCUUCUACCCACUUUGAUACAUAAUUAACUCCAAAUAAUAUGUACCUAUUGCCAUAAGAAGAUGAUCCCAUGAAAUCAACUCCCCAUACAUCAAAUAAUUCAAGUUCUAGGAUUUCAUGUUGGGGGAUUUCAUCUCUUUUUGACAAAUUCUCACUUCUUUGACACUUAUCACAUUUCGGCACAAAGGCUCUCACAUCCUUAAACAAAUUAGGCCAAAAGGAACUAGCUUGUAAAACCUUACUAGCUGUCCUUGAAACACCAAAAUGUCCCCCAUAAUCAUUUGGAUGGCAAUGAUGCAUAACACUCUCAAUCUCUUCAUCAGGAAUACACCUUCUAAUCAGCCCAUCACUACACCUUCUCAAAAGUAAUGGAUCAUUCCAUGUAUAGAACUGUUCUUUUGUUGCCAAUUCAUACUAACAGGCAAUACUCCACAUGACAAGUAAUUAACCAAAUCAGCAUGCCAUGGCAACUUAGCAGCUGUUCAUCUAUAAAAAAUUUAUCAAUGGGAACUUUAUCCAAUUUUUCAUUGUCAACCUUUAAACUAAUCAAAUCAAAUUCUUAUAACAAUAGAAUCUAUUUAAUCAGUCUAGGCUUAGCUUCCUUCUUAUGGAGUAGAUAUCUAAUGGCACCAUGAUCAAUAAACACAAUUACUUUUGAAUCAACCACAUAGGAUUUGAACUUCUCAAGUACAAAAACAAUUGUCAAGAACUCUUUUUCAGUGGUUGCAUAGUUGAUUUGAGUUUUAUCCAAUAUUCUAUUUGCAUAGUAGAUAGCAUAAGUUCUCUUUUCUUUCCUCUGACCAAGAACUGCACUAAUGACAUAAUCUCUGGCAUUGUACGUGAUUUCAAAAGGUAAAGUCCAGUCUGGUGGUUACAUAAUUGGUGCAGAAGUCAAGGCUUUCUUCAACCUGUAAAAAGCAUCAAGACAUUUUUGGUCCAAUAGAAAUGACACAUCAUGACUCAACAAAUUUGACAAAGGUUUUACUGUCUUUGAAAAAUCUUUAAUGAAAUGGUUGUAGAAUCUGGCAUGUCCCAGAAAACUUCUAGCUCUUUUGACAUUAGUGGGUGAAGGCUUUUCAAUUACUUCAAUUUUGGCUUUGUCAAUUUCUAUACCUCUACUGGACACUAAAUGUUCUAACACAAUCUCUUAUUGGACCAUAAAAUGAUAGUUUUCUCAAUUUAAAGCUAGAUCAGUAUCUGCAAAUCGUUGUAAAACCUUAGAGAGAUUAACCAAACAAAUAUCAAAUGGAGAACCAUAAACUGAAAAAUCAUCCAUAAACACCUCCAUGAUAUCCUCAAUAAAAUCAGAAAAGAUUGUCAUCAUACACCUUUGAAAGGUAUCUAGAGCAUUUUACAAGCUAAAUGACAUUCUUCUGUAAGCAAAGGUUCCUUAUGGAUGUGCAAAAGUUGUUCUCUCCUGGUCACUUGGAUGAAUAGAGAUUUGGAAAAACCUAGAUUAUCCGUCCAAGUAGCAAAAAUAUGAAUGUCUAGGAAGUUUCUCUAACAUUUGGUCUAUAAAAGGGAGUGAAAAAUGAUCAUUUCUUGUGGCAUUAUUUAAUAUUCUGUAGUCUAUACACGUUCUCCAAUUAGAGAUUGUUCUAGUAGGAAUCAAUUCAUUAUUCUCAUUUUUUUACCACUGUUAUGCCACCUUUCUUUGGGAUAACAUGUACAAGACUAGCAACUUAAGGAUUUU